AGGGAUGAGCCGGAGCUCAAUGUCCCCAGCCUGGCCGGACAGUCAGGAUUGGAGUCUUCUCAUGGAUUGGAGCCUUCCCAUAGCUCUGCACAAUCCGAGGCCAUCAGCCCCAACUCUGGCAUCCUGGCACCAUCGGGUGUGCCUCCCCUGUCUCCGUCUCCAGAGACCAGCAAACGCAGCAGCGUCCAACAUGCACCAAUGAGGCAGCUGCUGCAAUCUUCCUCGCUGGAGAGCAGCAGCCCCUGCACGGAGAGUGAGGUGACAUCAAGGUCAUCAGACACCAGCCAUUCCAGAGGCUCUGGGUCUGACCGCAGGCAAAAUCGCUCUCGCCGGCAAAGUUGGGCCUCAAAUCCACCUGUCCGGUCGAGGAGUCGCCGUGACAGGAGCCAGAGGACAGGACCAAGGGCUGAGAGGCCCAGGCACAGAAGGACACCAUCAGAGACAUCCCCCAGACGCAGCCGCUCGCGCCAGCAACGUCGGGCCUCAAAUCCACCUGUCCGGUCGCGGAGUCGCCGUGACAGGAGCCAGAGGACAGCACCAAGGGCUGAGACGCCCAGGCCGAGGGAGACAACAUCAGGGACAUCCACCAGGAGCAACCGCUCCCGCCGGCGACGUCAGGCCUCAAAUCCACCUCUCCAGUCGAGGAGUCGCCGUGACAGGAGCCGCAGGACAGCAGCAACUGCUGAGAGGCCCAGGCCGAGGGAGACACCAUCAGAGACAUCCCCCAGACGCAGCCGCACCCGCCAGCGACGUCGCGCCUCAAAUCCACCUGUCCGGUCGAGGAGUCGCCGUGACAGGAGCCGCAGCACAGCAGCAACUGCUGAGAGGCCCAGGCGUAGGGUGACAUUGCCGGGGACAUCCACCAGGAGCAACCGCUCCCGCCAGCGACGUCAGGCCUCAACUCAGGCCUUGAAAAUCAGCAUGUAGCGUCAUCUUUUCUUUCUAGUCCGUCUGUUCUCUGCCGUAAGUGAAGGUGAGGAAGCUCAAUACAGGGACCUUGAGAUUUGCAGGUCUCUGAGAAAAGUGUAUUAACUCUUGACAUUGCUAUUGGCAGGAAUCUGUGCUAAAUACCUGAUUGCUGUGUUGCCACCUAUUAAGUGAAAAGUCACUUAAGGGGGUGGCUAAUUAAAAAGGACACUUGUUCCUGCCUUUAGACUCAAACCUCAGAUGUUUCCCCACUGCUUACCCUUGAAAGUGAACCACUCCUUAGUGGGCUUGGAUACGUUUAGGGAGACAGAAGAGCAAGGUGGCUCUUAGGGAAGCUGUCUUUGGAAAGGACAUGUGCUGUGUUGCUAUCCUUAAGCAAUCUGAUUUCAGGAAAGCCAAAAGGAAGAAGAAAGAAGAGAGUGAGACACUGCCUCAAGUGUCUGAAGACAUCGAUUACGACAUUGCUGCUGAUUUAAAAGACUUGUUUGGACCUUCAAAGAACAAACCAGAAAACGCUGAGGACAUACCCUUGGGACAAAGAGGAUGCGCAGGACUCUGUCCCAGCUGACCAUCUGGGACCUUUGCCUGCGAACGACGUAGCUCAGGAGUCGAGUGCUUUCACUUUUCCUUCUUUGGAGACACACAGGAGUCGGGCAUGAAAGAAGAGCCUUACAUACUUGGACCAAUAAAACCGGUGAAAGUCACAUGGCAAGAGGAUCCACGUUUCCAAGACAGCAGUUCUGAGAGUGAUGAUGAGCCUGAACCAUCAGAAAUUGGAAAGGACCAAGAAAUGCAAGUUCCAUUUGUAUUUGUUCUCUCCUUGGUUGUCGUAGUUGGAUGCUGUGGGCAUAUUAAGAGCAGCACUCAGGAAACGGGAAACGGACAUUGCACACCUCUGAGCAGUGAAAGUCAUCUUGGAAAACCGUCUGUGCUGCACCGAGUCAAAACUCCCAGCAGCCCAUUUGAUGUGAAGCUGAAUAUGAAGAGAGAGAAGUUGAGCACAAGAAAUUAACUGGGUCGUUUUGGUUUGACCAAACCCAAACUGAGUUUGGCCAAAAGCCAAAGACACAGUCAGUUUUCUUUUAAAAAGUGGGGUUUUUAUAGAAGGCUCUGUUUGGUUACUGUGGAGUAAAGCUCUUCAAUGUUUACCAUUUCUCUGAAGCGCUGCAGCUCUAACUCGUGUUCAUGGAAUUUGAUAGUGCCUUUUAGGAUGCUAAAAUCCCUUUGUACUUGUCUAGGUUUCUUUCUUUACCACACACGGAAAGUGCUAGAGUCUUCUUCUUCUCCAAAGAUGAUGAACGCCUAAGAGGUACAACAGAACUUAUUCACCCCUUUUGUAUUUUUUUCCUUUUAAACUCUUACUGGAAUUCAGUGAGGAAAAAAUGCUGCCCGCUUAUGAAUGGUUUGUAGUCAACAUUUGCCACCCUUACUUGGGGUCUAGGUUGUGCUAGAAGCCCGUGAGGAAGUCCUGGCAAAAUAAAGGCUGAGCAGCUGUCUGGCUUUCUUUUCUUUCAGAUAAUUGCCUAAUAGGUAUCUGGACUUUUGGAGCUUACCAAAAAAAUAGUCACUGGACAAGUUGCCUAGACAUUUCAGACCCUUUCAGGUAUGUAUAUCAUCUUUAACUUUUUCUUGUCUUUCUGCUGUUAUCAUUAAGAACGUUGAGUAUUCUUAUCAGCCACAUAUGCCCGUGGGGUUCUUUGUCCUCCUGAAUCUCGGUUUUUCUCUUCUGAAUCCAGUGAAUUUUGUACUAAAAACCAAGGAAAACAACAGUCAAAGAAAACAUACGCAGCCCUAAACAUUCCACAGGCCACCAAAACAAUGGCUUGUUACAUUUGAUAGAACACAGUUUUAGGACAGCCUUAAAGGAUGUUUGUUUCUUGAGACCUACUAGAUAACUGUGAUGCAACGAGCUGAUGUGUUCAUACAGUUACUGUCCUGCGUGCUUCCAGCCUGUCUGAUUUACAGCGCGUGUUAAAAUGGGGAUCUCAGUCGUCAGCAGCCAUCAGUUUUGGGGGGAGAUGUGGGAUCCUGGUGUUGAGCUUUUCCUGGAGCAGCUGCUAUUUCACUGCAAUCUAGAUUUCAGCAUGUUCAGGAAAACUGCUGCUGCCUUUCAUUUCUCGCAGUACACGCGGCUGUAACACCGAACAUUUCUGUCGGAGCUCACGUGUGGUGGUGGGGGGAAGCGAAUGGGAAGGAUGUGGAGAAUAGAGCUGCUGACUUUACUGCUGUGUUGCUCAUGAGUGAUCCAAGCAGCAGCAUCAUCAGAAGUGUUUAACCCUUAUAAUUGGUUCUUUGUUUUGUGCAGAGGGCCCAAAGUUAUUUUGUAGAUCAGUAGAGCUCAGUGAAGAAAAAGAGGGUUGGGAAGACAGACGUAGAUUAUUGCUUGAGGUGAGUAUGAAACGUCUGUUCCCUGGUAACUGUGGCUGAAAGCUGAGCACGAGGAGGGAAGAGGGCUAUGAAUCUGCAUGAGAAAUUAAUUCAGGACCUCAACAAGAGCCUGAAACUUUGUAAUUACCAGAGAACAAAAGUGGUUUAGUAUACUGGUGUGUAUAACAUCAGGUUGUGAUGUCACUCAGGUAAACCACUAAAUCUCUGCACGUUACGGGACAGGACCAGAGACUUAACUGUACAUAGAGAAAGUGUUCAAGAGAAACAGUGAGUUUAGAGACUUCUCCUAAUAGUGGAUUCAGAAACUUCUCCUAAUAAUACGUUGGAUUUUUACCAUUUUCAGGAAUGCCGGAAGAAGCAUAAGGACGCCAAAAGAAAAGUGAAAGCAAACCAAUAAAUCUUCUUUUACUGAUGAGAAGCGUGUCAUGUUUCUUCCUUGAAGAAGUUGCAAACCAAUGUUACUUUGGAAAUCCUUUCCAAGAUCUAAUAGGAAAAACUUUUGGCCAAAACUGUCAGCCUGUGUUUCUGAAUAGGAAUACGUGUCCUGUGUCAAUUCAAGUGCCACCCUCGAUGGCUGCCCCAGGGCCUGGCAUUUGACCCUGCACUUGCUGCAGGAGCCCCUGCCCUGGUUGGGCUCUGACCAAAGGCUCGGACCCAUCUCAGAACCUCGGUUCCCAAGGGUGGCGUGGGACUGAGGCCAUCGCUGCCCCUAUUUUGGGUGCGCGUUGCUGAUGUCAGAAUGGCCAUUGUGACCCGUGCGACCAAGGCCACCAGAGGGAACGCUGGGCUCAGGCCGUGUGUCAGUGCGACCUGACAACGGGAGGAGAAGACGCAGCAGAGGAACAUCCACGGGAGACAGCAGUGUUCCUCGACGCGGUGACGGGAGGAGAAGGCGGACUGGAGCAGGGCUCACGCAGGGCUCACCAGGGAGUAGUGCCCUCGUGGCUCUGGGCCGGUUCUGCAAACUCCCCACACUCUUCUUUCUCCCACAGAGGGAGAGGACGAGCGCCUGGAGAAGGUCGCGGUGUUCCUGCACGGGGACUCAUCGCAGACCAGAACCAUGGCAGAAGGGAAGCAGGAGGCCUCUGAUGCCAGGGAGCCAGCAUGCCUGCUGUGCCGCCGCACAGAGGCUGACCCGGACAUCUGCGGCGACAAACAGGAGAAGCACGGGCUCUGUGCCCACAUCUUC